UGUAUAUACUUAUAGAUUAUCGUUGAUCAUCUCAACGAGAUUGAUUUUCUCGCUUGAGCUGGUACAGCGAAAGUGAGAAAAGCAAUCGAGUUGAGAUGACCAAUGAUAAUCUGUUUAUCGCUAUUUUACCUAUGACGACGUUGUCAAUUUCAUGUCAAUUUCGUUAGCAACGCCACGUGGCCUCCUUAGUUUCUAGCGAUAAUUUUUCCAUCUCAAGCGAGAAGCAUGAUAUGAAAAUUAUCACAAAAAAAGAUCAAAGGAAAAAUGCACAAAAUAGCGAUAAUUAUAGAUUAUCGUUGAUCAUCUCAACGAGAUUGAUUUUCUCGCUUGAGCUGGUACAGCGAAAGUGAGAAAAGCAAUCGAGUUGAGAUGACCAAUGAUAAUCUGUUUAUCGCUAUUUUUACCUAUGACGACGUUGUCAAUUUCAUGUCAAUUUCGUUAGCAACGCCACGUGGCCUCCUUAGUUUCUAGCGAUAAUUUUUCCAUCUCAAGCGAGAAGCAUGAUAUGAAAAUUAUCACAAAAAAAGAUCAAAGGAAAAAUGCACAAAAUAGCGAUAAAUAGACAGUUUAUGAAGAGUUAAUAAAGUUGAUAUAUAUAAAACAUGAAUAAAUGACAUCAAGUUUUGUUUUUGGAAUUAUCAGCAACAAAAUCAAGCGAGCACAUUAGGGCCAGCUGGUGAAGUCAGCAUAAAAAAAUAAAUGCCAUAACUAUUAGAAUAUUUGUGGAGGGCGGUCCAGUUUAAGAAUGAUGACAUUGAUAGAUUGAUACGGAUUGACAUAAAAACAUGACUGCAUUAUUACGUGAGGUCAUUGUUUAUGAAAUAUCCCAAUUAAUCCUGCAAUUUGAUUUAGCUAAAAGCC
rnacentral:lncRNA from 1 species